AUUGAACGCUGGCGGCAGGCCUAACACAUGCAAGUCGAGCGGAUGAAGGGAGCUUGCUCCUGGAUUCAGCGGCGGACGGGUGAGUAAUGCCUAGGAAUCUGCCUGGUAGUGGGGGAUAACGUCCGGAAACGGGCGCUAAUACCGCAUACGUCCUGAGGGAGAAAGUGGGGGAUCUUCGGACCUCACGCUAUCAGAUGAGCCUAGGUCGGAUUAGCUAGUUGGUGGGGUAAAGGCCUACCAAGGCGACGAUCCGUAACUGGUCUGAGAGGAUGAUCAGUCAAAACGGAACUGAGACACGGGCCAGACCCCCAAGGGAGGGAGGCGGGGGGAAUUUUGGGACAUGGGGGAAAGCCCGACGCAGCCAAGGCGCGGGGUGGAAGAAGGUCUUCGGAUUUUAAAAGCCUUUUAAUUGGGAAGAAAAGACGGGAAAUUAACUAUUCGCGGUUUGACGGUUCCCAACAAAAAAGGCACCGCUAAAUUUGUG
rnacentral:rRNA from 1 species